UUGGCGGCGAGUGGCGAACGGGUGAGUAAUAUAUCGGAACGUACCCAGUAGCGGGGGAUAACUACUCGAAAGCGUAGCUAAUACCGCAUACGCACUAAGGUGGAAAGCGGGGGAUCGCAAGACCUCGCGCUCAUGGAGCGGCCGAUAUCUGAUUAGCUAGUUGGUGGGGUAAAAGCCUACCAAGGCGACGAUCAGUAGCUGGUCUGAGAGGACGACCAGCCACACUGGGACUGAGACACGGCCCAGACUCC
rnacentral:rRNA from 1 species